rnacentral:rRNA from 1 species
GGUGCAUGGUGGUCGUCAGCUCGUGUCGUGAGAUGUUGGGUUAAGUCCCGCAACGAGCGCAACCCUCGUUCUAUGUUGCCAGCACGUAAUGGUGGGAACUCAUGGGAUACUGCCGGGGUCAACUCGGAGGAAGGUGGGGAUGACGUCAAAUCAUCAUGCCCCUUAUGUCUUGGGCUUCACGCAUGCUACAAUGGCCGGUACAAUGGGCUGCAAUCCCGUGAGGUGGAGCGAAUCCCAAAAAGCCGGUCCCAGUUCGGAUUGAGGUCUGCAACUCGACCUCAUGAAGUCGGAGUCGCUAGUAAUCGCAGAUCAGCAACGCUGCGGUGAAUACGUUCCCGGGUCUUGUACACACCGCCCGUCAAGUCAUGAAAGUCGGUAACACAUGAAGUCCGGAGGCACUAACCCAUCGUGGGAGGGAGCUGUCGAAGGAGGGAUGGUAAUUACGUGUUG